UACGGGGGGGGCAAGCGUUGUUCGGAAUUACUGGGCGUAAAGGGCUCGUAGGCGGCCAACUAAGUCGGACGUGAAAUCCCUCGGCUUAACCGGGGAACUGCGUCCGAUACUGGAUGGCUUGAGAUUGGGAGAGGGAUGCGGAAUUCCAGGUGUAGCGGUGAAAUGCGCAGAUAUCAGGAAGAACACCCGUGGCGAAGGCGGUUCUCUGGGACGGUACUGACGCUGAGACGCGAAAGCGUGGGGAGCAAACAGA
rnacentral:rRNA from 1 species